rnacentral:rRNA from 1 species
AUAUUGCACAAUGGGCGAAAGCCUGAUGCAACAACGCCGCGUGAGUGAUGAAGGCCUUCGGGUCGUAAAGCUCUUUGAUCAGGGAUGAUAAUGACAGUACCUGAAAAACAAGCCACGGCUAACUACGUGCCAGCAGCCGCGGUAAUACGUAGGUGGCGAGCGUUGUCCGGAAUUACUGGGCGUAAAGGGAGUGUAGGCGGUUAUGCAAGUUACAUGUGAAAGCCCAGGGCUUAACUCUGGAACUGCAUGUAAAACUGCAUAACUAGAGUGUGGGAGAGGAAAGUGGAAUUCCUAGUGUAGCGGUGGAAUGCGUAGAUAUUAGGAGGAACACCAGUGGCGAAGGCGGCUUUCUGGACCACAACUGACGCUGAGGCUCGAAAGCGUGGGGAGCAAACAGG